AGUUAAUUCAUUCAUGACCUCUGUGUUUGAACUUGCUAGCAUAAAUCCAAGCGAUUUUAGAUAUUUUCAUACCUUAACCUAACCUAUGCUCUAUUACUCUAUCCACAAUUCCAAAGUUUAGUAACUUUAUCCAUAUAAUUACAAAUUGUGCAACUUUGGAUAUUAGAUAUUUUAACAAGUUAACCUAUGCUCUAUUAUCUCAAACAAAGGAACUUUCACCAUUAAGUGUCCCUUGAAUAAUUCCAUCCUUUUUUUCUAAGAAUUCCUAUUUACUUCCCUUGUUCAAUUCAACCUAUAGAGCACAA
rnacentral:misc_RNA from 1 species